CAAUAGCGUAUAUUAAAGUUGUUGCAGUUAAAAAGCUCGUAGUUGGAUUUCUGGUGGGAGCGAUCGGUCUGGCGCUUAGCGCGAGUACUUGCAUCGUCUCCGGCCAUCCUUGGGGAGAGUCUGUUUGGCAUUAGGUUGUCGGGCAGAGGAUCCUCAUCGUUUACUGUGAAAAAAUUAGAGUGUUCAAAGCAGGCUUAUGCCGUUGAAUAUAUUAGCAUGGAAUAAUAAGAUAGGACUUUGGUACUAUUUUGUUGGUUUGCGCACCAAAGUAAUGAUUAAUAGGGACAGUUGGGGGUAUUCGUAUUCCGUUGUCAGAGGUGAAAUUCUUGGAUUUACGGAAGACGAACUACUGCGAAAGCAUUUACCAAGGAUGUUUUCAUUAA
rnacentral:rRNA from 1 species